rnacentral:rRNA from 1 species
AGUGAACGCUGGCGGUAGGCCUAACACAUGCAAGUCGAACGGCAGCACAGUAAGAGCUUGCUCUUACGGGUGGCGAGUGGCGGACGGGUGAGGAAUACAUCGGAAUCUACUUUUUCGUGGGGGAUAACGUAGGGAAACUUACGCUAAUACCGCAUACGACCUACGGGUGAAAGCAGGGGAUCUUCGGACCUUGCGCGAUUGAAUGAGCCGAUGUCGGAUUAGCUAGUUGGCGGGGUAAAGGCCCACCAAGGCGACGAUCCGUAGCUGGUCUGAGAGGAUGAUCAGCCACACUGGAACUGAGACACGGUCCAGACUCCUACGGGAGGCAGCAGUGGGGAAUAUUGGACAAUGGGCGCAAGCCUGAUCCAGCAGUACCGCGUGGGUGAAGAAGGCCUUCGGGUUGUAAAGCCCUUUUGUUGGGAAAGAAAAGCAGCAGGUUAAUACCCCGAUGUUCUGACGGUACCCAAAGAAUAAGCACCGGCUAACUUCGUG